UACGAAGGGGGCUAGCGUUGCUCGGAAUCACUGGGCGUAAAGCGCGUGUAGGCGGCUAAGUAAGUCGGGUGUGAAAGCCCGUCAGCUCAACUGAGGAAGUGCGCCCGAAACUGCUUGGCUGAGUGCCGGAGAGGAUGGCGGAAUACCCAAGAGAGGUGAAUUCGUAGAUAUGGGGUGGAACACCGGUGGCGAAGGCGGCCAUCUGGACGUAACUGACGCUGAGACGCGAAAGCGUGGGUAGCAAACAGG
rnacentral:rRNA from 1 species